AUGGAGGAAGCAUUUUUGUGGGAAGGAAAGAAAAAGAAAAAGAAAAAAGGGAAACGAGGGGAAGAGGAGACAAAGACGGAGAGGCAGGGGCAGUGGCCGGGGCCUGCCCAGCGUGUCAUGAUCGGUGGACUAAGCUGCGCUGGUGGUCGAGUUCCGGCCGAGACCGGGCGAUCGAGAUGGCACCGCCGCCUCCUCCAAUCCAAUCCCCAAACCAGCGCAAGCGACAAACCUCGUAACCCAAGAUCUACGUCGACAGCAGAGGAACCAUCAAUCAAUCAAGAAGAGGCCAUGGCGGGCAAGGAGGAGGCGGGGAAGUUGAUGGUUAGUCCGGGCAGCGCUGCCAAUUCGACGGAGGCCGGCGUCGAUGGUCCUGCGGCGGUGUUCCCCUCCGCCGCCGGAUCCAUCUACACGGAGGGUGACGAGUCAGAGAAGGGGGUAGCUGCGAUUGACAAGAUGCUUGGGGAGGCGAAUCUGUCGUCCGCCGUCGCCAAUCAGCCGGCCGCAGCACCGCCAGGUCCAAACAAGGGCAAGGUUCGGCUGUCGAAAGCCGAGAUCAGGACCAUAAUUGCGCUGAAGCCGGAGCAACACCCCAGCGCUGAUUACCUGGACGAUCUGGCAGAGUAUUUCCCUCCGGAGUGGAUUGAGGAAAGGAAGCGUGCCCACGCUGACAGUGUAGAGCUUUUCAAGAAGAUGGACGACGAUUUCGAAGAGUACCGGCAGCAGGUCUUAGUGUCUGUGCGGGACAAGGGCUACUUCGAGGUCGAUGAAGAGCUCAUUUCCAACAGGGAAAAGGCGAAUGAGUACGUUGCCGAACAAUGGAAGAGGAUGGAUUUUACUGGAAUUCAGAUUGCCACCCCGGAGGACAGGCUGAGGGAUGCAGACGGUUAUCGUCCAUAUGUUCCUGACCAAGAUGAUGCGCUCGUUGAAGCUCUUGUGAUUGAGUGA
rnacentral:rRNA from 1 species